GGACCUGUGGCCUAGUGGAUAGCGCUGCUGUUUUUCAAAUUCUCAACGGGGGUUCGAACCCCGUUGGGGUCA